rnacentral:rRNA from 1 species
UACGUAGGGGGCAAGCGUUGUCCGGAUUUAUUGGGCGUAAAGAGCUCGUAGGUGGUUCGGUAAGUCGGAUGUGAAAUCUCCAGGCUCAACCUGGAGGGGUCAUUCGAUACUGCCGUGACUAGAGGUCGGUAGGGGAGUGUGGAAUUCCUGGUGGAGCGGUGAAAUGCGCAGAUAUCAGGAGGAACACCCGUAACGAAGGCGGCACUCUGGGCCGAUACGUGACACUGAGGAGCGAAAGCGUGGGGAGCGAACAGG